UACGAAGGGGGCUAGCGUUGCUCGGAAUUACUGGGCGUAAAGCGCGCGUAGGCGGGCCGUUAAGUCGGGGGUGAAAGCCUGGGGCUCAACCUCAGAAUUGCCUUCGAUACUGGCGGCCUGGAGCAUGAUAGAGGCGAGUGGAAUUCCGAGUGUAGAGGUGAAAUUCGUAGAUAUUCGGAGGAACACAAGUGGCGAAGGCGACUCGCUGGAUCAUUGCUGACGCUGAGGCGCGAAAGCGUGGGUAGCAAACAGG
rnacentral:rRNA from 1 species